AGGUGUCAAUCAAGGCCCUGUGCAAGGCCAGGGAGGCGGAGCUCCAGAGGCCACGCCCACACAGAGCUGCCAAUCACCCCGGGAAGGUUCAGGAGGCUCCAGAUUGGUCGGAACAGGCUGAGUCUAUACUGAUUGGCCACAGCCCAGAGGCGGUGCUUUGGGCGCUGGAGGUCCUGGCCAAUCAGAGCACAAGAGAUCUCCUGGCUGGCCCCACCCCCUCAGCCAAGGCGCCGCCCACCCUGAAGCGCCUCCUGCAGGUGAGGGGGG